rnacentral:rRNA from 1 species
UACGAAGGGAGCUAGCGUUGUUCGGAAUCACUGGGCGUAAAGCGCACGUAGGCGGAUGUGUCAGUCAGGGGUGAAAUCCCGGAGCUCAACUUCGGAACUGCCUUUGAUACAGCACGUCUUGAGUCCGAUAGAGGUGGGUGGAAUUCCUAGUGUAGAGGUGAAAUUCGUAGAUAUUAGGAAGAACACCGGUGGCGAAGGCGGCCCACUGGAUCGGUACUGACGCUGAGGCGCGAAAGCUAGGGGAGCAAACGGG